ensembl:lncRNA
GUAAGUGUAACAGGUAUUAAUUAUAACUUGUGUUUAUUUUAAAUUCACACAAAAUCCUAUUUUUUCUGCUACAUGUAAGAAAAGAAAAUAAUUAUUUUUUUUUUUUGAGUUUUGCGUUCGUCGCAGUUGUGACGUGAUUUGCGUGUUGCGCGCGCUCUAGCUUCAGUCCGCGGGAGGUCUGAGCAGAGUGAGGUAUGUAUUGUGGGCACUCCUGUUUAAAAGAGUGUUAUAAGUGAAUAUAAUCACCAAUUAAGUGGUCGGUUUUGUUAAAAUGUAGAUGAGUAUGCACAAGUAUGUGAUCUUCCCUCUUAAAGCUGGUUUUCCUGCAUAAGUGAAAGUUUGACAGAGUGAAUGCAGUAUCACGUUGUGUUGUAUGUUAGUGUGAAAGUUGGCCUUUGAAGCGUGUCUGCUGAUAUUUUUUCUAUGUUCGACUGUUUGACAGGAGAAGGCUGAUCAAAUAUGCACUACACUGAAUGCAACAAAUAAUUACUGUAUUUUUCAACUCAUGCAGAUAAAGAACCUCUGAACCAGCAAUUGGACUCCAGUUUUUAUUUAUUACACAACAUAACGCAGAGUCGUAGCCGAGUUGUGGUAACAGAGACACGCGAGCCCGAACCGGCUACAUAAUUUGCCCUUGGGAGUCACUGUGCACUGUACACCUGACAGCUUUUAUCUGCAUGAGGGAGUAAAAUGGC